UCGGGAAUUUUGGGCAAUGGGCGCAAGCCUGAUCCAGCCAUGCCGCGUGGAUGAUGAAGGCCCUAGGGUUGUAAAAUCCUUUCGUUGGGGACGAUAAUGACGGUACCCAAAGAAGAAGCUCCGGCUAACUUCGUGCCAGCAGCCGCGGUAAUACGAAGGGGGCUAGCGUUGUUCGGAUUUACUGGGCGUAAAGCGCGCGUAGGCGGUGUGUCAAGUCAGUUGUGAAAUCUCCGAGCUUAACUCGGAACGGUCAACUGAUACUGUCACACUAGAGUACAGAAGGGGCAAUCGGAAUUCUUGGUGUAGCGGUGAAAUGCGUAGAUAUCAAGAGGAACACCUGAGGCGAAGGCGGGUUGCUGGGCUGAUACUGACGCUGAGGCGCGAAAGCUAGGGUAGCAAACGGGAUUAGAUACCCUUGUAGUCCCUGAGCGGGCUGGCAAGGCGCAU
rnacentral:rRNA from 1 species